CUCUUGACGUUAGCGGCGGACGGGUAGUAACACGUGGGUAACCUACCUAUAAGACUGGGAUAACUUCGGGAAACCGGAGCUAAUACCGGAUAAUAUUUCGAACCGCAUGGUUCGAUAGUGAAAGAUGGUUUUGCUAUCACUUAUAGAUGGACCCGCGCCGUAUUAGCUAGUUGGUAAGGUAACGGCUUACCAAGGCGACGAUACGUAGCCGACCUGAGAGGGUGAUCGGCCACACUGGAACUGAGACACGGUCCAGACUCCUACGGGAGGCAGCAGGC
rnacentral:rRNA from 1 species